rnacentral:rRNA from 1 species
AUUGAACGCUGGCGGCAGGCCUAACACAUGCAAGUCGAGCGGAUGAAGGGAGCUUGCUCCUGGAUUCAGCGGCGGACGGGUGAGUAAUGCCUAGGAAUCUGCCUGGUAGUGGGGGAUAACGUCCGGAAACGGGCGCUAAUACCGCAUACGUCCUGAGGGAGAAAGUGGGGGAUCUUCGGACCUCACGCUAUCAGAUGAGCCUAGGUCGGAUUAGCUAGUUGGUGGGGUAAAGGCCUACCAAGGCGACGAUCCGUAACUGGUCUGAGAGGAUGAUCAGUCACACUGGAACUGAGACACGGUCCAGGCUCCGACGGGAGGCAGCAGUGGGGAAUAUUGGACGAUGGGCGAAAGCCUGAUCCAGCCAUGCCGCGUGUGUGAAGAAGGUCUUCGGAUUGUAAAGCACUUUAAGUUGGGAGGAAGGGCAGUAAGUUAAGACCUUGCUGUGUUGACGUUACCAACAGAAUAAGCACCGGCUAACUUCGUG